UGCUCUGUGUCUUUUGAAAAAAGACCUUCUGAGAGUUCGUCCCUCAGUGAUUUAUGUUUUCCUCUCCCCACCCCCCCCCCCCCCGCCCCACUCACAUACCCAUGACUGUUUCCAGAUGAGAAAGCUCAGGCCCAGAGAAGCAAAGCAGCUCCCUUGAGGUCACACAGCAGAGUAGGGUUUCCUUUGAAACCCUGAGCUAAGGGAUCCUUCUGGGGUCUGACGGCCAUUUAAGGAGGGGUUUUGAAAACUGCCGAGGAUGUUGCUGUUAGGGUGAAGAGGCCUCAGAGCCUGUCAAGUGGAGUCUGCAGAACCCGAACCCCGCCCCCCGGCCAGCAUACAGGUGCCUGUGCCGUGGAUGAGCCUCGGCGCCUACAGAAGAGACUCUGAGGUCCUGGUGGGUUUGUUACCUUGUAACAAAAGGCCCUCCCCUGGCCUCAGGCCAGCAGCCUUGGGUUGUUGACCGACUGAUUGACCAGACUCGUCUUCUACCGUGUGCUCUGUGUGUCAU